CGUAAAUAAUUUUUGUAGUGUAAAAGCUAAGUAUAUUCAUACAUACUUUAAAGCAGAUAACUGAAGUAUAAAAUUUCUUUUACAGUGACACCUGGGCCCUCAACUAACCAAUAAGGUGCGAGUCUGUGAACCUACAAUUUUGUCGAUGCAAGGCUAACUGAAGUCCUUGAUGCAAUCGGCUAUCUACUGGCUAUCCCGAGCCUGAAAUGUGGGAAAUUGAGGGUGGUGAGAUUAUAAAAUCCCAAUGAGUAAAUAGAUACCAUCUAAACCAUCUAAAGUCGAGUAAAUGGAGACAAUUAAAACAAGUCAUCAUAUUGUAAUUUCAUUACCUUACAACUCAUUUCAAUUAAAUAAACAACUAGGCUUAUGAUUUCCUGAAAAGCUUGGCUCAUGCCAAAAAUCAUUCUCAUACUCAGUUAUCAGGGAUGCCUUGAUCGAGGGUUAUCCCAAUCGAGUCCGCCAAGGCUGUUAAAAAGGUCAUGUAUGCAUAAAUUAUGUUUUUAUUUUGAAAAUAUAGUCGUUCCUUGGCGUUGGCUGAGUUCACCCUCACGUGGUGGUUUGGCAUGAAGUGAACUCUAAAAGUGUUAGCCUUAAAAGUUAUCCACCCGCGCAUCUCAUACUGAGGUAAGAUAUAACGGGGUUUACCGUGUCCUUUUAAUAGAUUGGUCUACGAAAACUCGCCCACUGCAGUAAGCUCAUCAUUAUCCCACCAAUCAAUAAAAUUCAAUAACAUGAUAUGGCAAUUUUAUCAUUAUCCAGUCUAUAAAGGCAAACAACAGUUUAUACAUUUCAAUACAAAUACCAAUUCAGCCAUUCAUGCCAAUAUAGUCAUAAGCCAUUCAAUUCAAACCAUGAAUUUACAACAUAUGAAAACAGUCUCCAAUUACUCUAUUUUCCAAACCGUUAUUUCAUUUCAAGACAAUUUACAAAAUCAUUUUAUUAAAUCACAUUUUAAUUACAAAUCACAAGGAUUUACCAUUUAACUCAUUUCCCAUAAAAUCCAAAAAAUAGAAUAAAAACCACUUUAGAUAAUUAAGAUGAUAGUAAGGUUACUCACAGUAUCAGGAGUAGAAAUACUCCUAAUCCCGAUCUUUGGUGUAAUCUCUUUAUCCUUAUCAAAUAGCUCACCAAUUAUACAUCACACAUGACACAAAAUUUAAUAAUUUGUAUCAAUUUGUCAUAAACUAUUUCAGGCUCUCUAAAUCUAAAUGAAUGCAUGUGAUGGGAUGCAAAAUGUCCGAUUAAUCGUUUAAAUGUGAUAUUCGACCUAAGUCACACUAUACUUGGUCUAAUCGGCUAAAAUCUCCAAUUUAACUCCAAAUCAAUUCUUUUCACUUUCUACACUCCAAUUAUACCUAAAUUACCUCAGUGACUGUGAAUGAGAUUCAAUUUAUCAGUCCCGGGUCAAUAAUCACACAUGUCUAUACGUUAAGCAAAAAUUCAGAUUUUCACACCAAAAUUUCCCAUUUAAUUUCUAACCUCACCAAACAUCAAAUAUCACCAAAAUAUCAUGAAAUAUCAUUAAUUUCAGCCUCAAUAUUCUUCCUAGAAAAUUUGGGCUCUUAUGGGUAAUGGGAGAAAAUGAAUUUUUCUUGUUGGCUUUCUUGUUAUACAUCACUAACUAACGAAAAACACUAACAUAACUUGAAAUCAAAUCAAUCCAACAUCAUUCUCUCUCAAUACCCAUUUGACCAGCCAUGAAUUCACAAUGAAAACAUGAAAUUUAACCAUGGAAAAUAAGGAGAAAUGCAUGGGAAAGGUAGAUCACAAGUCAAAAUCAAGAAAUUUUACCUUUGAUUGCUUGAUUACUUGAAAUCCACCAAUUUUCCCUUGAAUUUUCCUACCUAGGGUUCUUGUUCUUCUUUUCUUCCUUUGUUCUUCCUUUUGUUUUCCUUU
rnacentral:lncRNA from 1 species